rnacentral:lncRNA from 1 species
ACCAAUUAUGAACUACCUUCAAUUGCCAUUCCUCUUCGUGAAUCCCAAACUGUCAACUAUUUUCUUCUUCUUACUUUUUAAAAACUAAAACUACUUAAAAAGCAUACUUUCAAGCAUUGGCUACUGCAAAAUAAUAAUGCUACAGUGUACAGAAGAAAGUAAAUGGGUGUGAAUUAUAAGCUAAAAUACCACUCAAAACACUGACAUAAUGUAAUGUAAAUUACAAUAACAUUUCAAGAGGACGAGAAGGUACAACUUCAAAUAAACAGUAAAAAAGGAACUACACAUUAAACAAAUUCCUUCCUAGAUAAGCAAAAAUGAAAAGCCCAAUCGUACGCAACUUAGAGAGGGAGGAGUGAAAGAGUACUAGGGAAAGUCAAGAAUCAUCAGGGUUUGAGAAACCCUCGUCGGAAAUUAGUAUGUGGGAAUCAUCGAACUGGUCAUGGGAAUCAGAUGAUGAUUGUUGUUGGUGGUCUGGGAGGGAUUCCGAAUAAUGUUGUUGUUGUUGUUGGGUAUUUUCGAGAUAGGGCUUGAAAGCUAUCUGCAGGGUUAAGUAGCCGAAAGCUACCGCUCCGAUCACCACUACGGCUGACCUCAUCGCGUUUUUCACCGAUUCUCUCAUUCUUGUUUCUCAAAACUUCAAAUCCUCUCUCCGUUCACCUCUCUUUCUUCGAUAGUUCCUCCUGAUUCUUUCGUUUUGAAUAAGAAAAAGACUA